GCUUGGGUAGCUCAGUUGGUAGAGCACUUGCCUGCGACGCGCGACCGAUACGGUCGCAGGUUCGAAUCCUGCCUCGGGCA